ACAAGGGACAAAAUUGUCACAAAACCAGGUUUUCAUUGUGAAAAAAAAAUCUGAUAAAGGGAGAAAACUCAAACUGAACUUUUGAAAUGACCAAAAAAAAUUAACCCCCUUUGUAAUUUUUUUUUUUUUUUAAAUCUAUUUUUAGUCGUGGCGACCAUGACAUUGGAGAUAUUGACGUGAUUCUUUCGUGGGACACACCGUCCCAUGAUGGUGAACAAAUGUGCCAAAU